CCCUUAGAUGUUCUGGGCCGCACGCGCGCUACACUGACGGAGGCAGCGAGCGUGUCCUUCGCCGGCAGGUGCGGGCAAUCUUGCGAGUCUCCGUCGUGCUGGGGAUAGAUGGUUGCAAUUGUCGAUCUUGAACGAGGAAUUCCUAGUAAGCGCGAGUCAUCAGCUCGCGCUGAUUACGUCCCUGCCCUUUGUACACACCGCCCGGCGCUACUACAGAGUGCCCGUGUCCAAGAAACGGUCGGACCUGUGCGGCCUCUCCGGGCGACCGGAGGGCCGUUACGGGGAAGACCCUUUAUUUGACGCGGGUCGAUGAAGUAAAAGUCGUAACA
rnacentral:rRNA from 1 species